UACAGAGGGUGCGAGCGUUGUCCGGAAUCACUGGGCGUAAAGGGCGCGUAGGCGGUCCGGUAAGCGCGUGGUGAAAGCUCGGGGCUCAACCCCGAGUCGGCCGUGCGAACUGCGGGACUGGAGCAGAUCAGAGGCAGGCGGAAUUCCGGGUGUAGCGGUGGAAUGCGUAGAGAUCCGGAAGAACACCGGUGGCGAAGGCGGCAUCCUGGACCGGCAUUGACGCUAAAGCGCGAAAGCCAGGGGAGCAAACGGG
rnacentral:rRNA from 1 species